rnacentral:rRNA from 1 species
AGUGGCGGACGGGUGAGUAACGCGUAAGAAUCUAACUGCAGGACGGGGACAACAGUGGGAAACGACUGCUAAUACCCGAUGUGCCGCGAGGUGAAACCUAAUUGGCCUGAAGAAGAGCUUGCGUCUGAUUAGCUAGUUGGUGGGGUAAGAGCCUACCAAGGCGACGAUCAGUAGCUGGUCUGAGAGGAUGAGCAGCCACACUGGGACUGAGACACGGCCCAGACUCCUACGGGAGGCAGCAGUGGGGAAUUUUCCGCAAUGGGCGAAAGCCUGACGGAGCAACGCCGCGUGAGGGAGGAAGGUCUUUGGAUUGUAAACCUCUUUUCUCAAGGAAGAAGUUCUGACGGUACUUGAGGAAUCAGCCUCGGCUAACUCCGUGCCAGCAGCCGCGGUAAUACGGGGGAGGCAAGCGUUAUCCGGAAUUAUUGGGCGUAAAGCGUCCGCAGGUGGUCAGCCAAGUCUGCUGUCAAAUCAGGUUGCUUAACGACCUAAAGGCGGUGGAAACUGGCAGACUAGAGAGCAGUAGGGGUAGCAGGAAUUCCCAGUGUAGCGGUGAAAUGCGUAGAGAUUGGGAAGAACAUCGGUGGCGAAAGCGUGCUACUGGGCUGUAUCUGACACUCAGGGACGAAAGCUAGGGGAGCGAAAGGGAUUAGAUACCCCUGUAGUCCUAGCCGUAAACGAUGGAUACUAGGCGUGGCUU